UCUGCGAGAAAGUAAACAAAAAGCCAGAAAUAGAAAAGCACAGAUAUGUGGUUGACCAAUGUUAGAGAAACAACCGAGGCAGGCGGGAACAUGCCAGGAGGGAAGGUUACAGUGACAAAGUGAGGUCUCAUUGAGGAGAAAUUAUGUCCUAGAGUUUAAAUAUUUUAUCCUGCUCAAGUCACCGUUCAUAAAAGUUCCUGAUUCUCAGAGGUUUCACUGAGAUAAUCAAGGAGAACUUAGAGACAGUGGACUGGUCAGAGGCACAUUUAUAAUCUAAAAAGAAGACACCUCUCUGCAAAGCCUGUGGUUCUGAAAAGUACUAAGCUGUUUUUUCUCAGAAAUAAGGAGGUUGCCAGUGUCAUGCGCCCAAACAGCUCCUUUUCAGAUCAUGGCCCUGAGGGUACAUCAGAAAUCACAAGACUGUGAGUGCUGACUGCCAGUGACCUGCAAAAUCUUGCAGUUUUUGGAAGCCUGUUCCAUCUCCUGUGUAAUCAGGAAACGUAAACCUGUGUGCGACCAGCAAGGUACUGAUAAUCUUCAGCCAGGCAAAUAAUGCAAGACCCCAUUAGUGCACUUUUUCUUCAUAUUUUUGAUUUUUAGGUGUUCACUUAUGCUGAAUAAUCUUUGUCUGAUUGUAAUAACUUCUAAAUUGGCAACAUUUAGAGAAUAAACAGCCAGUGCUUUUUCA
rnacentral:lncRNA from 1 species